AAUCCAGUUUGAGAUGAUUUUUGGCUAAUGUGUGAGAUUUAAGGUGAGGGUCAUCUUUCUGGAUAUACAAUUUUUCCAGCAACAUUUGUUGAAAAGACUCUUUGGCAAUACUUGCGUGGAACUAUUUCUGGUUUCUUUUUCUAUUUCAUUGAUCUGUUUUUCUAUCCUUCAGCUAGUAUCACACAGUCUUGAUUAAGGUAGUUACAUAAUAACUCUUAAAAUAAGAUGAAGUGAUUUCUCCAACUUCAUUUCUAUUUUUCAAAAAUUGUUUCAGCUCUUCUAUUUCCUUUUCCUUUCCUAAUAAAUUUUAAAAUAACUUUAGUUUUGUCUUUAAAAAUUCUUGCUAAGAUUUUUAUAAUAAGUGUAUAAAGUAUGUGUAUUACCUUGGGGAGAAAUGACAUUUUUACUCUGUUGAGUGUUCCAAUCCAUGAACACUGGAUGUCUAUUUAUUUAAACCUUCUUUCUUUCAUCACUGUUUUGUAGUUUACAUCAUAGUAGUCCUGUAUAUAUUUUGUUAGAUUUCUACCUAAGUACUUCAGUUUUUUAAAAAGAUUAUACAUACUAUUGUAUUCUUAAUUUUAGUUUCCACAGGGCCAUUGCUCUCAUGUAGGAAUACAAUUAAUUUUAUAUGUUUUACUUAGAACUUUUGGCAUCGCUGAACUCAUCAGUUCUAGGAGUAUUUUUAUAGGUCCCUUAUUUUUUUUGUAAACCAUUGUGGCAUCUGCAAGUAGGAACAGCUUUAUAUUUUCCUUUCUAAUUGAUGUCUUUUAUUUCCUUUUCUUACCUUAUUGAGCUUCCUAGAACUUCCUGUAAUAUGUUGACUAGCAGUGGGACUGGAAAACACCACUGCAUUGUUCUCAUCUUAAGAGGAAAGCAUUCUACUUUCACCACUAGUUUAAUUCACUGAGCCUGAAAUUGCCGAGAAUUAUAGAGAAAAGGUUCCUCCCUGACAGUUUGGCAAGGAAUAUGGAAUGGUUAAGGACUCCCCACCCUUCCACUCCAACCCCACUUCCAAAGCCUGAGAUUUCAGGACCUCUGACCCAGCAGCUCCAGGUGUCUACGGAGCAUCUAAAUCUGGAUAUCCCAUGGGAACUUCAAACUCAAAAUAUCCAAGAGAGAUCCAUUAAUAUUCCCUUGCGCUGACCUGUAACACCGAAUCACAUGCAGUAGUAUUUAGUUGAUUCUACUGCUAAAAUGUCAAAAAAAUUUGCCCAGUUUUAUCCAACCCUCCUAUUAUUGGCCUUCAUUAUCUUUCACCAAGACCAGGCAAAUUACCUAAUUUCUCUUGGCCAGCCUUUCUUGCUCCAACCAAAGCAAAACUCAAAUUGUUUAACUGCCUUGAUUCUAUACCUUGCAUUUCCAAAUCAAAGUAUCUUUGUAUUAGACAUCAGUUUCCUUAUUUGUAAGGUGGGACAAUAAUAUUUCAUGAGAUUGUAAAAAGUUCUUAUCAUAAGAAACGCCAACAGUAAUAUAAUAUAGCAAUUAAUAAAAGCCCGCUUACUUCUUCUCACCAUUAUCUCACUGGGGAAUAUUAUAAAAACUAUCAUAUAUGGUGCUAAGGGUUAUAUGUUGAUUAAAUCAUUUAAUCUUCACAACAGCUUUAUGAAGUAAGUAUCAAUGUUACAAUUCCAACUUUAGAGAUGGGGCAAAGAGAAGCUGACUAUCUUGUCUAAGAUCACACAUCAAGACAAAGGCAACACUGAAUCUCAGAUUAGGUAUGCCUGAGUCCAGAUGGUGAUAACCAACAGAAUAUACCAACUCUGAAACAUAUUAAAUUCUCAUUACAAUGGAAUUAACUUCAUUACCUUCAAACUGUUGAACCAAGAUUUUAAAUAAAAGAAACUAUUAAUAGAAGAUUAAAGAAAUGUACAGUGUAGCUAUAUACCAAUGUGAAUGUAAUGAUAAAUGAACAGUGCAAUCAAAAUAUUUUAAAAAUACACAUUUUCAACUAAACAUAGUUUUACAUAACUUAAAAUGCAACACAGUUUUUCUUAAUGGUGCCAUCCUCCAAGCCCUAAUCGUUGUCUCACUGUUUCCUAUAACACUUUGCAGGUGCUUCUGCAGUUUGCUUUCCUUCCUGUCUAGAAAUCACAGCAUCAAAAACAUGCAAAAAGCUCUAUCUUUUUACAUAUUUUGUGGUUAGCCAACAAACUAAUGUGAGCUCAGUCAACAAUGUUUCAACUUCCUUAAUACUGCACAACUGCAAUGCAUUUUUGCUGCUUUAGAGUGCUGCAAAAACAUAUAUGACAUCUGCAUUUCUAAAACGAUAACAAUUUGUUGUUUCUGCAACAUAUAUUUAAGACUGUUCUUAAAACCAUGUAGUAAUUUAUACCUGUCUAAAUAAUUUCUUAUUUUCAUAGAUAACAUUUUUAAAGUAUAUGGGCCUUUCAGCAAUUUGCAGUCUUCAGAGAAAUGACAUUUAGAUUUUCUUGGGUCUAUUCAGGACCCAAUCUUGUAAACCAUUUCACUAGAAAUAAAAAUCUGUUUUGUUCUUUAUUAAGAAAAAGAAAAUAUGGAAGAAGCCAAUUAAAAUUUAUUGCAUAGGACAGUGUUUCCAAACAUGCUUUAAAGACAGAAAGUCUUACUAAAAACAGUUAAGUGAACUGUGACAUACAGGACGGAUCAGGUGGGACAACUCUGAUAGAAGCCAAGAUAGAAAAUACAGAGCCCUAUCAGCCUGACUUUUCAUUAUUCAUAAUGAGGUAGGAGGUGGAAUGUGACUCUGGACCAGAUUGAAGACUGACAGAAACAAGGAAGAGGAAACGAAAGCUCCUCCCCAUAAGACACGCCCACCAGCACCAUGACAUUUUACCAUUGCCAUGGCUAUACCCAGAAGUUACCAUCCCUUUCCAUGGCAAUGAUCCAGAAGUUACCUUCUGUUUUCUAGAAAUUUCUGAAUAGCCUGCCCCUUAAUUUGCACAUAAUUAAAAGUAGUAUAAACAUGGCUGCAGAACUGCCCCUGAGCUGCUACUCUUGACACACUGCCCAGGGGGUACCCCUGCUCUGAAGGAGAAGUCACAGAGCUGUAACACCCCUGCCUCAAUAAAGCUGAUUUUUCUACCACCAGCUCGCUCUUGAAUUCUUUCCUGAGCCAACCUUCUCAGGCUAAACCCCACUGUUGGGAUUCACCUGCCCUGUAACAAUUUCACCAUAAAAGUCAAUAAAGCUUCAUGAUGCAACCCAAAAUGUCUAUUAAACAUCCAGAAUCCUUACAGAAACAGAAGGCCACACUAACAUGAGGCCAACACCCCUAUAUAAAAAGGAUACAAUGGAUCUUAUUUUUAUCAUUAAUGUUGUGCGUCUUAAACAUAUGGGGUUAACUUAUGAAUAAGAAUUAUCAAAGUUUAUAUCCAAAAUUUAUAAAACAUAAUACUAUUCCCUUGAUUCUUGUAAUUUCACUUCUCUCCCAAAUAAG
rnacentral:lncRNA from 10 species